rnacentral:lncRNA from 1 species
CAGUUGAGGCCAGAGACUUGGAGUAAUGUGAUUGGCCACUCCAUUUGAAACACAGGUGGGUAAGAAAGAAGCAGUCUUUGAAAGUAAGAAACUGGUGAAAAGCAUAAAGAUGUACUUAAUACACAAGUGAAACACACUUAGGUCCAUUCUGUCAGGAUGGAGUACAAAGUAUAUGCAAGGAAAGCUGAAUAGAGACACAGUAGAUGGAGUUUUAUAGCAUCUAAUAUUUCAUGAAAUUGAUUUAUCUUUUAAAACUAAAUAUAGUCAUAGUGCAUACUGUAAGUAAAUCAACUCAGUUAUGCAUAUAUUUGUACAUAUAUAUAUAUCAAUUUGAUUUAAUGUCCAUAAAUAGCAAUCUAAUUAUUUAAAAUCAUGGUUAUGUUUGUAUUUCUAUAGGAAUAUGAACAUAAGACCUUAACAAACAAAGAUCUUAACAAAGAUAGUUUAAACAAAGAUCUUAGGGAUAUUUUUGUUUGUAUUUAAAUUUUUUUUCCCUUACUUCUAGUCAUUGAAGAACUAAGAUAAACUGAUUUUAAAUUAAAAAGCAGAUUUUUCUUUUCCCAUCCUGGCCUGUCCUCAGCCAGCAGUUCCACAGGAUGACAGUUUUCAGGAAGAGUCAAGAUCUUUCUUAAAUGAAAAAUGAUUAUUCAUCAUAAUAAAAAUGUACACAGUACCUUAAUGAGUAGAUGUGCUAAUGUCUAUUCACUCUUUAGACAUAUUAGACUAAAUUUGUUUUUUAGCCCUAACAUGCACAAUCACAAAUAAAAUGCUUAAUUAUCGCUUUAAAAUAGCAUCAUAUCAGCUGCUUUUACAGUAUAUUUAGGUUAUGAGUCACCGAAUGUUUUUCAAAAUGACAAGAGUGAAAUGUAUUAUUGAAAAAUGACAGUGGUUGAAUUUUCUAUUUUGGUUUUCUAUUUUGGGUAAUGGAAGCAUGAAAUAAGAUUCUACAUGGAGUAGCAAGUGGUUUAAUUCUUUUCACAAAAAAAUUAACUACCUAUUACAUGUACAGUAUAGUUCUAAGCAGUGAGGACACAAAGACAUUAAGACUUAGCUUCCGAUCUCAAGACCACAAUCUACGGAGUGAAUAGAUUUGUAUAACUUUGCACAUAUAUAUGAGAUGUUAUGUGGCAGAACAUAUGUAAUCUAUAGCUGGUCUAUUGUCCAUGAAUAGUAAUAGUUGAUUAUUAGUGUGAGCUGCUUUGCUCUGAGGUAUUCAGAGGGAGAAAAAACUAAUUUUGCCCAAAAGAAGAGUCAGGAUCUGGUUAGAUAUGAUUUGCAAGAGAAGAUUAGGCAUGAGUUUUGAAGGAUUAGAAGGGGUGAUCAAGUCAGCAAGUGAGAGUAUAGGGUGAUGUAUAGGUGUAGAGUAUGGUGCAACAAGUUUUACCUAACCAAUGUUUCCUGGAUUUUAUGUGGAAGCUGUGAGAUAUUCAGCGUGUAAUAGAGUACAGAGGAAUAUUAAAUGACCAACAAUUCAUUUGAAGUUGUUACCCUGUUCAUGUCCCAGAUAUUCUGUAAGCCAGCGUUGGAAAAUACAAGGCUAGAGCAGAACUACAGCACUGCCAUCACUGAACCUUCCUUUGGGGGACCUAUUUAGAAAGCACAUAAUUCCAUUCUAAAGGUGAGGGUGAGGAGAUGGGACAUUAUUUGCUUAUAGGUCCAUCUCAUGACAUUUGUACAUAGGUGACUAUAGCAAUGGGAUCAGCCAUCAUAGAGAUCUAAAGAAAAGCAAAUAAAUUACUAAGAAAAGAGUCAAAAGUGGAACAUGAAAAAAAAUGCACUCAGAAAAAAAGUAGUGCCUAAAAGAAACAAGGGGAGUUCCAGUCCUGGCUCAGCAGUUAAUCCUUAACCCACUGAGCGAGGCCAGGGAUCAAACCCACAACCUCAUGGUUCCUAGUCAUGUUCGUUUCUGCUGUGCCAUGAUGGGAACUCCAUGGAUUGCCCAUUUCUAGUACCGCUUCUCUCCAUCUGAUCUUAACCAUUUUGCCUCAUUACCUUUCUUCUUUUUUAUGAUGUUUUCUGCAGUGUUUCCCCAAAUUCAUUUCUUUAACAUCUCUCAGAUCUGCCCCUCUUGUUUUCCUCCACAUCAUCACUGCCCUGACUCAGGCCUGUGCUGUUUCUUGCUUGUGUCAUUGAAAGAGCCUCCAACAGGAUUCAAUGUUCAGCAUUGUCUUUCUUGUCUUUUCUGCAUGCCGUAGGCAGAGCUUUCUAAGUGCAGAUUCUACUUUAAUUAUAUCAUUGCUUUUCUUAUAAUAAUACUUCAGUUGCUCCCUAUUAUUCUUAGAAUAAAAUUAGACUUUCUCCCAAAGGCAAACAAAUCCUUUGUAAUCUUGCCCUUACUUGUCUACUUCCCCAGUCUCAUUUUAUUUUAUUUUAUUUAUUUAUUUAUUUAUUUAUUUAUUUAUUUUUUAAGGCUGCACCCACAGCAUAUUGAAGUUCCCAGGCUAGGGAUUAAAUUGAAGCUAUAGCUGCUGACCUAUGCCACAGCCACAGCAACGCCAGAUCCAUGCUGCAUCUGUGACCUACAUCACAGCUCUAGGCAAUGCUGGAUCCUUAACCCACUGAGUGAGGCCAGGGAUUGAACCCACAUCGCCAUGGAUACUAGUUGGAUUCGUCCGCUGAGCCACGAUGGGGAGUCCCCCAGUCUCAUUUUAAAUUAUCUUCUCUUACUUUCUUCUUUCCCCUCUGCCUUCCUCUUGCUUUCCAAUCCACUUGAAAUUCAACUACACUGACCUUCCUCCAUGUCCUCCAAUGUAUAGUUUUCUCUUUCAUCGUUCUUUUUCCAACCCUUACUCUGUCUACUAACUCCAACUCUUCCUUCAGUCUUAAUCCCAGCUUUUACUCCUUCAGCCUCCCCUGACCCACCAGUGGUCUUGGUUACGUAACCCGUAUACACUCAACACUGUCUGUUGGAUUCAUUUAUUUCACUAUGUUUCUCCCUUUAAAGGCUGCAAAUUCCUUGAGCACAGUGAUGUUUUAUUCAUCUCUACAUUUAGUCCAGAGGCUGGCAUAUAGGUACUUUAAAACAUGAAUAGUCCUUUUAUGCUGAGAUGAUAUUCAAGAUGCUUACCUUCUAAAUUAAAGAUCUCUUCUCUGAUUCUAGCAGUUACCAAAUAUCCUUCACUCUUCUUAAGUGUGUAUUUCUAAAGUUUCUCCAAACACAUUAAUUCUUUUGGUGAUUUUCCUAUGUAGCCUAGGGAUUAUAUGGUCCAUGGGACAUCUCUCUCUCUCUCUUUAAUAUAAACAAAAGUUCUUAAAUCCCUCUGUCCUUCCGCAAGCCAUGUGAGAUAAUGAGGAAACUCAGUAAGAGACACAUGGUCUCUGAUCACACGUGGUCAUCUUGUAACAUCUUCCCUCUCCUUCUCCUCAUUUAUCGCCUCCUGAAUGAGCACACAUUCUCUGUGCUAAGUUUUUUUCCUUAACUGUCUUUUUGUUAAACGAACAUCUACUGAGCAAAUACUAUGAAUGAGUCAGUGUUAUUAUAUUAAGUAUAUAAUUGUCAAGCUCAGGAUUAAAAUGUAGUAUUAUAAAGGCUAAAUAUGUCUUUAUGUUUUAAAUGUAUGGUUUAUAGUUCUUUACUUUUUUUUGCAUUGGAUUGUAAAGUUUGGAAUAAUAAAGAUUAUUUUAUUUACCAAUCCUGUAUCAUAUUUCCACAACCAGGUUAUAGAAUAAAGAGAUAGAUAGCCAAAUCUAUUUUAGAACCUAAAUAUUCACAGAGAAGAAAGGAUGAGGGAAAUUUACAAAAUAACAUAUAAAGCCCUCAGGUCAAAGGCAAGCAUCAGAGCAAGUUUAAAGGUGUGUGUGUACCCAAGGCAAAAAGAGUUUCAGACCUUUCCUGUGGUUAUGUAUGUAACCAGUGUCUGAGUUUGACCUGGAGCGAGGCACAUACAACUAUCUAUGCCAGAGGAGAAAUGCACUUUCUUUGAGUAGUGCCUUUCUCUGAAAUUUUUUUCAGAGCAAUUUCCAUUUAUUUUAUACUUUACUCUUAGUGAGACCUUAUUUCCUUCUUGUUCAUUCUCAAUCAUUUAUUCAUGUCUUCAUCAAAAUAAUAAUUGAGCAUUCACUUCUGGACUGGAAAUAUUCUGGCAGUGGGCAAUAGAGCAGUGAACAGAACACACAGAAAUACCUACCCACAAAAUAUUUAUGUUCUAGUGGAGGGAGAUAGACAAUAAUAGAGAUAAAUAAGUAAUAUUUUAGAAUGUUAGGUAGUGAUAAGUACUCUGGAGAACAAAAAUUAAGUGGAAAGGUUUAUCCAAAGGUGUAUCGCCAAAGGAGUUUGUAGGUGCAAUUUAAAUAGAGAAAAGCACUCCAGGCUGAAGGGACAGCAAAGGAAAAUACCCUGAGGUAAUGAGUUUUUGUGGAGUAUUCCAGGAGGCAAGGAGGCCAGUGCGCUGUAAUGCAGGGAGUGGUGGAAAGAGGAGAUAAAGAGAUAAUGGUCUAUAGGGCUUUAUAGGUCACUGUUCAGAGUUGUGUACUUACCCUGUUAAGACUUUGAUGUUAACUCUAAAGUGUGAGGCCAUUGGAGGGAUUUGAGAAGAUGAAAGGCGUGACCUGACUUAUGUUUCCAAAGGCCCUCCUGGCUCUUAUGUUGAGAAUGGAUUGAUGCAUGCAGGAUGGAAGCAAGGAGACCAGUUCAUUCACAUAUUGUGUAAGAGUAUUGUAAUAGGAGAAGGAUGAUGGUGGCUUGGCAAAAGUGAUAGCAAUGGAAGCAGAAUAAGUGAUCACAUUUUGGAAUUGUUCUGAUGAUAGAAGUGAUAUGAUUUCAUGAUGAAUUAGAGAUGGACAAUGACAGAAAGAUGAAUCCAAGGUGUUUCAGCAUGAACAACCAAAAGAAUGGAGCUUCCAAAAGUUGAGAAAAAGAAAAUUAUGUGAGGGGCAAAUUUUAGAGGGAAAAGAUGGGGAGUUUUGUUUUAGAUAUAGUAAGUUAGAUUACCUGUUAGAGAUUUCCAAGGGGAGAUGUUGAGUAGAUGGAUGUAUAAAGAAGUCUAGGGUCCAGUGGGAGCUGUUCAGGAUGGAGAUUUGUUGAAUGUGGUAAUAGAUAUUACAGGAAAUAGAAAGUAGCUCUAAAAUACCAUCUUUGCUUUCUAGAAAUGUGUGCUCUACUGACUGGGCAUGUUAGAUACAUAAAAGUAAUUAACAAAUAAUGUAAAGUAGUAGAUGUAAUAUAUCUAUAAAGUGUGGGUAUCAAAAUGAGUGCUGGUGUAGGAGGUACAGUAAUCCCUCAGAGAAGUGUACAUUUAGGGAAAGGUCUGGUGAGAAGUCGAGAUUUGAAGUAGCUUGGAAGCAUGUGUUAAAUUUCACUGAUUACAAAGGGGGGAGAGGUAUCCCAGGCCCAGAAGGUACAAAGUGAGAACAACACAAAACUCUUGAAACACAGAUGAGAUCUUCCCAUCUGUGUGGGAUGUAUGUAUAGAAAUCCCAAAUUAGGCCACACAGUGUAGAAUUGCUGAAGAAGGGAUGUUAAUUUGACCUGGCAAGAAGUAUCCCUAGAGUUUUCUGAAUUAGCAAGUAACAUAUGCAAUACAUUGUUUUCAGUAAAUGAAACCUGCCGCCAUCUUGAAGUUAAUCAGUUCUGCAGAUCCAGCUUUGAUAUUUCCUCUAAAAUAUUGUCCAUCAGAAGCCUGAAGCCGAACUGAUAGGAAAAGAUGUCUAAUUUCAUAGGUGUGAAGUACUUUCAUUGUUUUAAAAUAGAAAUAGAUCUAAUUGAUCUAUAUAUGUACAAUUUAUGUGAAAUUAUUAUCAUGUUCCCAGGUUUGCACUUUUGAUCAUUUGGAAGCAGUUAUAUUAAUGUUAUGAAUUUGGGUAGUCUGGGAUAAUGUGUAUCUUUUAGCUCUAGGCAAUCUGUCUUUCUACCCUAUAAGAAAAUUGGCAGUUUUCUAUUGGCCAGUAAAAACCAUCCUGCAGAAAGAGAAGGUAACAAUAGGAACUAUGGAGGUUAAAACUCGAAACAUGUUUGCCUUCCAUGAAGUGGCUGUGCUUGCCCUGCUUCUAGUCACACCUUAGUUUUCCAAGCUGACUGUAUAAUCCGAGUCUUUCUCCGGAGAUAAUACAGGGUGCAGGCCCCUUCAAAGAAGGGAUUUGUGCUUGCUGCCAGCUCCCGGAGCUCUGUUCUGUCGAGUAGUUAAGAUCUCCAGAGUGGCUUAUAGGCUUUGUGUAAUUUCUAUCUGCACCCAGACAGCUGGACUUCAUUUCGUUUUAUUUGCAUUUAAUAAUAAGCCGCCUUUCCUUAGCUGUUAAAUUGUGAAUUAUCAAACACUAUCAAAUCCUCCUGCCCAUAUUCUGACUACACUUACUUUGAAACAGACCCAUUGGUAACACUCUGGUUCCAGGGAAAAGCUGGGCUUCGUGCCAUAUAUUUCAGGGUGGGAACUACUCUGAUAUAUUUCUUUGGGGGCUAAAAAAUGCCGUUUCUGAUCUAAUGCGAACACUGGGAACAGCACAGCAAGCUUUGUGGAGGAUUCAUCUUUAAUUAUUAAAACAGGAGAGAUCAUUCAUGCCUCUUUGAAGUUCUUAUUUUAUUUUCAGGAGAGGAAAUGAAUGUACAAGUCACUACAUGUGAAACAGGGUAAAAGUGAGUGUAAAAAGAAGAAAAGAACGAGUAACAGAAGAAAUAGACAAUAGAGGGAAAUCGUGACUGUAAAGAGGAAAGGAACAGUAGAAGUGAGAAGAAAGGACAGAGAUGGUCUGCUUGGUAGGAAGCUGGGACAUAGCUCUCAAUAAUAUUUGGAAAUAAGUGGAUUUGAGAUCUCUUUGCUAAGUCAACUGUUAGCAGCUACUGGGCUUAAAAGAGCUAAUGAUAAAGGAAAGGAUGAGGAAUAAGGGGGAAAGAUUUUACAUAUUAAAUCUUGCUGAGGCAUUAUGUCUUCUUGCUGUGGAAUUGGAAGAAAAAACAUAUAUAUAUAAAAACUGAGGAAGCUAGAAUGGGGUGAGGAAUUGUAAGGAAGAACAAAUCACGACCAGAAUAAAAAGUCAGUCAAUAUCAAGCAUCAAAGAUCUCAGUGUGUGGUUUUUCUUUCUGUCUAAAAGUGUCCAGUCCUGGUAAUUAGAAAGUGAGCAUAAUGAUGGGCUGGUCUGAAUCAUGCUUUAAUGAGUCAAAAUUACAGCAAGCUGGCAUCCGUUAUACGGAAGCAUUUGUGUUGGGGGGAAGGUUGGGGGGACAAGGUGUCAUUUUUCAGGAGAGAACAUUACUAAAGCCCUAGGUGUAUUGACACAACUGGUCAUGGGCUCCAGGCCGGGAGUAGCAGAGGGAACACAGGAUUUAUGUGCACUAAUGGACUCUGUGAUUAUUAUUCUCCAUGUUAUUAUUGUUAUCAUGGAUAAUGUACAUAUACAUCAACAAUUAAUUAUUGGGAGCUCCCCUUGUGGCUCAGCAGAAAUGAACCUGACUAGUAUCCAUGAGGAAAUAGGUUCAAUCUCUGGCCUCACUCAGUGGGUAAAGAUCCGGUGUUGCUAUGAGUUGGGGUGAAGGUCACAGACAUGGCUUGGAUCUCCCAUUGCUGUGACUGUGGUGUAGGCUGGCAAUUGCAGCUCCAAUUCAAUGCCUAGCAUGGGAACUUCCAUAUACUUCAGGUGCAGUCCUAAAAUACUAAAUAAAUAAAUAAAUAUCAUUUAGUUGCUUCUCAUGCUUGAGGAACUAGAGCCUUUUCUGGCUUACAGUGAAAAAACUGUAAGUUAAAGAGUGAGUUUGGACCUGGGAGAUGCUACUGUUAACCACAGACCCUGGACAGACAUUUGCUACUCUCUAAUGAGGUUCUCUCUUAUUUUAUUGUCCUCUAACCUGAUAUAUAUAUGGGAUUAAAAUGAACUUUCCCCAAUAAAGAGAGGAAUAUGGAAAGGAAACAAAAAUAUUUGUGUAUGUAGCGCCUGAAGCAUCUGGAGUCAGAGGACCAAAUUCACUAGUUCUCCAGCAUAAUAGCAUCAGUUCCAACCCAGGACACAAUCAUAAAACAGCACUCCAGUGCACAUAAAACAACUAAAUCCUCUCUUCCUUGCUGCUCCAUCAUCUCAUCUAUUCUUCAUGCUACCAACGUUGCAGUACACCUUAAACUAAUUAGAAACAGAUUUCCCAUUUCCUCAUGGCUUUAUAUUUAGUUUGUCAAUGAGCCAAUUUCUCGGCAGAUUCACUUUAAUGACACACAGCUAAGGAAUUCCCAUUGUGGGGCAGUAGAAAUGAUUCCGACUAGUAUCCCAUGAGGAUGUAAGUCUGAUCCCUGAACUGCUCAGUGGGUCAGGGAUCCAGCAUUGUCAUGAGCCGUGGGGAAGGUUGCAGAUGUGGCUCAGAUCCCAUUUUGCUGUGGCUCUAGCUUAGGCUGGCAGCUGUAGCUCUGAUUCGACCCCCAGCCUAGGAACUUCCAUAUGUCAUGGGUACAGACCUAAAAAAAAAAAAAAAAAAAAAAAA